rnacentral:lncRNA from 1 species
UCUGAAUCAUACCAAAGUUUGCCUAUGUGUUGACCUAUUAGAAGAUGCAAUGGCUGUUUCCCAGUUCCCACAAUUGAGGAGAUCAUCAUAGCAGAAACAAAGCCACCUGCCUAGAGGCUGUAAUUUUCCCGUUGCCCCUCCAGCAAGCUGGGUCACACGACUACGCUAUGUCCGAUGAAACGUGAGCAAAGGUUAUAAGACAAUUCCUGGGAAUGAUAUUGCAGUGAAAUUACUUGGCCCAAAUUACUACCAACUAUCCCUGCAUCUACCUCAAGGAAAGGAUGCCCUUUGAUGCUGUAACAGGCCUCUGAUGAUCACAAAUGGGAAUGUGCAACAGUAAACCUUCCAGUACCCUUUCUUCUAAGAAGUGCUGUACUGCUGUUUGUUCUUUAUCUUUUAUUUGAAUGUGAAUAAGAAAUAAAAUUUGGGGCUGGAGAGAUGACUUCAGUUUGAGAAAGCUUGCUGCUCCUUCAUAGCACCUGGAUUCAAUUCUCAGCACACACAUGACAUCUC